GAAGUGGAAAUAUUAUCUACUUUAUUAUUGGGUGUGGUAAAGCAGUCAGACUGUCCUCAGCUGCCAGCCAGUAGCAGAGGCACAGUGUGCCUUGUUCUUAGGGGAUGGGAUGUUCUUAGGAUGAAGGGAUGCUGUGUUUUGUUUUGUUCUCAUCUAUUUUCUCUUAACCCCUUACCCCCACACACUAGUGUCUGAAAUGCAACUUCUGUUUCCCUUCCUUUGCAAAUAAUGGGGAAGUAAGGCCUUGUCACCACCCCUCCAGGGCUGUUCUCAGCUACACAGAUCAUCUGAGAGACGCUGUCAUGCCGUGGUGGCUAGUUUCAUUUGUCAACUUGACACACUCUAGAAUCACUGUGGAAGAGUCUCAGGUUGUCAGUUGUCUGUGAAAGUUUGUCUUAAUUGUGUUAAUCGAUGUGGGAAGACCUGUCUACUGGGGGCAGUACCAUUCCCUGGGGUUUGGACCCUGAACCAAGUGUGGGAAAAGUGAGCUGAGCCCUGACCCACUUGCAUUCUUCGUUCUCACUCUGCUCUUGACUGCUCUUGACCAGCUGCUUCAAGUUCCUGCCUCCCUGACUUACUGCUGCAACUGGGUGGACUGUAACUUGGAGUUGUGAUCCGAAAUAAACCUUUUCUGCCCUAA
rnacentral:lncRNA from 1 species